AUAUAAAGAGCCAAGGCGAUAGCAUUUUGCAGAACGUUGGUUUUAAGCGCCCUUUGGUCUCAACAGCAGAAUAACAAUUUCAUAAGCAAAAUCAUAGUAAAGAUUAGAUGAGAAUUUCUUUCUGGUCUAGAUUUACUACAACAAAGACAGAUGAAUUGCAAGUCAAGAAUGAGUUCCAAACUGAUCUUAAUACAAGUGCAUCAUAUUUCUUGUAUUAUACUCAGAAACGAGAAAAUUCCAUGGUUCACGCUAAAUGCAAACCGAAAAUGAAGAUCAAUGAUAUGAUCAGUAAUAUGGAUACGAAAGGGAUCUACUUUUUCAUAUUAUAACAUGGGGGUUUGCAUGCAUACAGGCUGUACCCACUAAAAUAGAUGCUCUCAUGUGAAUAAUUGGCAUGACGAAAGAAAAAACAUUGCAAUCUGUCAAUGUAUAAUUUUGGCGGCGAAAGUUGAUGAAACGUUUAUGCAAGAAAAAAUGUAAAUUAAUAAAUUACCUGUUAGCUUUAAUAAUUUUACUUAUUUCAACACACUUUGGUUGACUAUAAAAGCCAUUGUCUCAACAUCGAUGUUUGCCUUUCAUUGAAGAAGUGGAAGAAGUGUAAAAGAUCCAUCCGGAUCUUGUAUGUUUUCUGUAUAUACCCGUCAUAUAGUAAUUGUUUGGUUUGCAACUUAUCCAAUUUUCAUUGUUCCAAAAGACAUGACAAUUACUUUUUACUAGAAACGUUAAUGAACAAUAAAGUGUCAGUAUAUUAGAGCAUCAAAA